CCAGACUCCUACGGGAGGCAGCAGUGAGGAAUAUUGGUCAAUGGGCGCGAGCCUGAACCAGCCAAGUAGCGUGAAGGAUGACUGCCCUACGGGUUGUAAACUUCUUUUAUAAAGGAAUAAAGUGAGGCACGUGUGCCUUUUUGUAUGUACUUUAUGAAUAAGGAUCGGCUAACUCCGUGCCAGCAGCCGCGGUAAUACGGAGGAUCCGAGCGUUAUCCGGAUUUAUUGGGUUUAAAGGGUGCGUAGGCGGAGUGUCAAGUCAGCGGUAAAAUUUCGGGGCUCAACCCCGUCGUGCCGUUGAAACUGACGCCCUUGAGUGAGGGAGAAGUAAGCGGAAUGCGUGGUGUAGCGGUGAAAUGCAUAGAUAUCACGCAGAACGCCGAUUGCGAAGGCAGCCUGCCGCAGCGUUACUGACGCUGAAGCUCGAAAGCGCGGGUAUCGAACAGGAUUAGAUACCCUAGUA
rnacentral:rRNA from 1 species